rnacentral:rRNA from 1 species
GUCCUACGGGAGGCUGCAGUUGGGAAUCUUGCGCAAUGGGGGAAACCCUGACGCAGCGACGCCGCGUGCGGGAUGACGAUCUUCGGAUUGUAAACCGCUUUUCUUGGGGACGAUAAUGACGGUACCUGAGGAAGAAGCCCCGGCUAACUCCGUGCCAGCAGCCGCGGUAAGACGGGGGGGGCAAGCGUUAUCCGGAAUUACUGGGCGUAAAGCGCACGUAGGCGGCUUUGUACGGCGGUGGUGAAAGCUCCCGGCUUAAAUGGGAGAGGUCCGCCGGACCGGGAGAGGUCGAGGGGGGUAGAGGUUGAUGGAAUUCCUGGUGUAGCGGUGAAAUGCGUAGAGAUCAGGAGGAACACCCGUGGCGAAGGCGGUCAACUGGGCCACGCCUGACGCUGAGGUGCGAAAGCCAGGGGAGCGAACGGGAUUAGAUACCCCGGUAGUC